AUUGAACGCUGGCGGCAGGCCUAACACAUGCAAGUCGAGCGGGGUUUUCGGACCUAGCGGCGGACGGGUGAGUAAUGCGUAGGAAGCUACCCGAUAGAGGGGGAUACCAGUUGGAAACGAUUGUUAAUACCGCAUAAUGUCUACGGACCAAAGUGUGGGACCUUCGGGCCACAUGCUAUCGGAUGCGCCUACGUGGAGAUUCGCGAGUUGGUGAGGUAAUUGCUAACCAAGGGGACGAUCCCUAGCUGGUUUGAGGGGAUGAUCAGCCACACUGGAGCUGGGAAACGGUCCAAACUCCUACGGGACGCAGCAGUGGGGAAUAUUGGACGAUGGGCGAGAGCCUGAUUCAGCCAUGCCGCGUGUGUGAAGAAGGCCUUCGGGUUGUAAAGCACUUUCAGUAGGGAGGAAGGGUGUUGUGGUAAUAGCACAGCAUUUUGACGUUACCUACAGAAGAAGCACCGGCUAACUCUGUGCCAGCCGCCGCGGUAAGAC
rnacentral:rRNA from 1 species